UGGUAUUCCGGAGGGCAUGCCUGUUUGAGCGUCGUU
rnacentral:rRNA from 1 species